ACUUUACUGAGGCUCAGUUGGUAGAGCAUUGUGCUAACAAAUGCAAAGCAUGUGGGUUCAAAUCCCAGGGAAAGUA